UAGCCGUAAACGAUACUCGCUAGGUGUCGGCCACGGUGCGACCGUUGUCGGUGCCGUAGGGAAGCCGUGAAGCGAGCCACCUGGGAAGUACGGCCGCAAGGCUGAAACUUAAAGGAAUUGGCGGGGGGAGCACCACAACGGGUGGAGCUUGCGGUUUAAUUGGACUCAACGCCGGGAAGCUCACCGGAUAAGACAGCGGAAUGAUUGCCGGGCUGAAGACCCUGCAUGACCAGCUGAGAGGUGGUGCAUGGCGUAGUCGUGU
rnacentral:rRNA from 1 species